UCGUAGGCUCCAUGCUCGCG
rnacentral:snRNA from 1 species